GGGUGAGUGUGCGUGGGUCACCGCGGAUGCGGUUCGCAGGACGAUUUUAUAAAGACUGCUUGUUCAGGAAUGAAAUAUUGAACCUCCUUGUUUGAGGAAUCCUUGAUUUGUCUCGGCUGUUUGUCCUGCAUACUCUUCCUGAGAUUGGCUUUGAGGAGAUCCAAGUGUGAGCACAAGGGAUGACUCAAGAACAGCAUAGCAAAGACUUCCUUUUCACAGCUUCAAAGAUCUGAAACUGUUUUGGGAAACUGCACAAUGCCAUUACAGUGAUGAUGGUGAAGACCACCCAGAAGCAUAACAAAUGAAUGCAUAGAAAUAUUCCUACUUAAUUGUGCAUUUACCUUAUAAUAGAUAAUGUAACCUCUUGAGAACUUGUAUUUCCCAAGUAUGGCUAUUUAAUAUGAUAAAUGUUUGAUCCAGAGCUGAUAAUACAAUUGGCAAUCUUUCUAUCACAUCAUUCAAGCACCACAGAUGAUUGUAGUUAAUCAGAAUACUACUGGGGCUAUUUGUGAAUGUAAACAUAUAACUUAGUCCUAAUUACUCUAGAGAGAGUUUGUUAUUGCCUAAAUGCUAGGACAAUAAUUAUACAAUUCUUUGAGGACCAUAUUGUAAGUUAUCAGAUUUAAGGAUCAAUCAACAUAAAUGUGUAUUACAACAAUUAUAGUCCCUGACUAGAGCUAGGAGAAAUUUUCAGUAUGUUUCCUAAACUGCUACUUAGCAACAUGUAGUCAAAAGUAAGUAUUUUAGUGCUCUCCAAAUUUCUAAGCCGUUAUCUAUUCUCCACAACUUUUAUAUCUCAAAUAUUUCCCUUUAGUUAUUUUACAAUCCCAUUCUCAGUAUUUGGCAUGGUGGUCCUUACUUAACGUUGUAGUAACCACUUUUAAUGUCCAAGUUAUUGAUGUUUCCAGUUGCAGAAUUUUGAGUGCAUUGCAAUGGUUCCUGCAGCUGUAUUUCAUCAGUCAACUGAAUCAAUUACUGUCAGCUGUCCAGAGAAAUUAACCCUGUGUCUACAUGAUUUAUUAAAAGGUGAAUUGCUACAGCAGUAUAAUAUGUGCACACAACAAAAUAGUAAACCUGAAUUGUCUUAAUUAUUGCAUGUCAAUUGAAAUGACUAAGUUUAAUAUUCCUGUGCAUUUUAUCAAACUUAGCUAAAUAAAAUACAGUAAUAUAAAUUAUUUUGUUUUUACAUUUAUUGAUCUUAUUUUAUUCUCCAGAAACAAA